rnacentral:lncRNA from 1 species
UCUCUCUCUGUGUGUGUGUGUACUUCCGGGUUCUGUGAGUAACUGGGUUUCACCCCUGUGGAGAAGACAGGUGAGCCUAAGUUUUAAACGCAGGCUAGGAAGUAAAAUUGGAUCGAGAUGUAAUUGAAUACGCUUUGCCUGAGACCCACUGCAGGGUUCCACCUCGCUGUGCUCUGGUGGGACUUUGUCAGUGUUCUGGGUUUUUCUGAACGAUCAAAGAAAGAGGGACACUGCAGAAUGAAUUUAGGCUUCCCAGAAGCAGAGGGAUCCAUUCUGGUGAGCUGAACUAAACGGCUAACAGCUUCGCAGGAGGGCUUUUGUGAUUGUUACACAAAGGACCUUUUAGCAAGUCAAUUCCCGCAUACCCAAAUCUCAUAUCAGAUCUCAACGAACCAUAAGCAACCAGAAGCCACAGUAUACACCAGCUUCAAACACCUUGUUCCCAGCCCCCAUUUGCCUAAGAUGGCAUAUCAAAUCUUCAGUAUGCGCCUGUCCUGCUGAGGAAGUUGUUGAACAUGUCCCGUUACACAGCGGCAUUGUGGCUGUCCCUUAGUCUGCUCAGGACACCCGAUGAAGAACCCUCUUUAGCGCUCAGAUUUCACAUCCUCGGUUGGACCAAUAGGCCAUCUACAGAGCCAGAUCUAUGGGGAAACCGUGCAUCUGAAACCCACUAUACAGACAGUGCUGUGGCCACAAAGGCACCGGAUAUCAUCAAGCAGAAGGAUGGAGGUGAGGGGAGAAAAGGACAAAGAGGAGGAGAUUGUCAAGGUUAGUGUUUGUCUGCGUCCCGCCCCCCCCCCCA